rnacentral:rRNA from 1 species
GGGUAGAAUCCAGGUGUAGCGGUGAAUGCGUAGAGAUCUGGAGGAAUACCGGUGGCGAAGGNGCCCCCNGACGAAGACUGACGCUCAGGUGCCGAAAGCGUGGGGAGCAAACAGGAUUAGAUACCUGGUAGUCCACGCGUAAACGAUGCCGACUUGGAGGUUGUGCCCUUGAGGCGUGGCUUCCGGAGCUAACGCGUUAAGUCGACCGCUGGGGAGUACGGCCGCAAGGUUAAAACUCAAAUGAAUUGACGGGGGCCCGCACAAGCGGUGGAGCAUGUGGUUUAAUUCGAUGCAACGCGAAGAACCUUACCUGGUCUUGACAUCCACGGAAGUUUUCAGAGAUGAGAAUGUGCCUUCGGGAACCGUGAGACAGGUGCUGCAUGGCUGUCGUCAGCUCGUGUUGUGAAAUGUUGGGUUAAGUCCCGCAACGAGCGCAACCCUUAUCCUUUGUUGCCAGCGGUCCGGCCGGGAACUCAAAGGAGACUGCCAGUGAUAAACUGGAGGAAGGUGGGGAUGACGUCAAGUCAUCAUGGCCCUUACGACCAGGGCUACACACGUGCUACAAUGGCGCAUACAAAGAGAAGCGACCUCGCGAGAGCAAGCGGACCUCAUAAAGUGCGUCGUAGUCCGGAUUGGAGUCUGCAACUCGACUCCAUGAAGUCGGAAUCGCUAGUAAUCGUGGAUCAGAAUGCCACGGUGAAUACGUUCCCGGGCCUUGUACACACCGCCCGUCACACCAUGGGAGUGGGUUGCAAAAGAAGUAGGUAGCUUAACCUUCGGGAGGGCGCUUACCACUUUGUGAUUCAUGACUGGGGUGAAGUCGUAACAAGGUAACCGUAGGGGAACCUGCGGCUGGAUCACCUCCUU